rnacentral:rRNA from 1 species
GGUUAUACGGGGAUACGAGCNUUUUCNGAAUUAUUGGGUUAANGGUGCGUAGGUUUUGUAUCAGUCAGUGGUGAAAAAGCUGAGGCUUANCNUUAGUCUUGCCAUGAAAACUGUAUAGCUAGAGUUCAGACGAUGUAUGAGGAAUGCGUAGUGUAGCGGUGAAAUGCAUAGAUAUUACGCAGAACGUCAAUUGCGAAGGCAUCAUACAAGGCUGUAACUGACACUGAUUCACGAAAGCGUGGGUAGCGAACAGGAUUAGAUACCCUGGUAGUCCACGCCGUAAACUAUGAUUACUCAGAGUAUGCGAUAUAUAGUAUUCUCUCAAGCGAAAGCAUUAAGUAAUCCACCUGGGGAGUACGUCGGCAACGAUGAAACUCAAAGGAAUUGACGGGGGCCCGCACAAGCGGAGGAACAUGUGGUUUAAUUCG